rnacentral:lncRNA from 1 species
AACACCAAUCACUCCUUUGUAGUGAGUUCUAUUGUUAGUACAGGGUUAAAUUUAAAAUUUCUAGGUGUACUUUCCAAGCCUUGCAAAGUUCAUUUUAAAAAUUCAGGACAAUGAAAACAUAUGUGUAGUUAAGGGCUGCAGGCUUUGAUGGCAAGAGAAUAUGACAAACUGGGAGAGAAGGUUGGAUGAGUGGUUUAUUUCAUAGAGUAGAAUUAUCAUUGUAUUUAAAUAAAGAUCUGGCUCAAGUUUAUUACCUCUGGAGAUCUGAGUCCGGCAACCCAGAAAGCAAAGUUCUAGUUACAAGAUCAAAUUACCUCAAGCCCUUAAUAAGACAAAACCUUAAAAUCAAAUAUAGUUUUGUGUCUAUACAUCACGAAGCUCCAUAACCCAGCGGCAAUAGCUGAGAGCCAUGCCAUAAGAAAAGAAGAAAUCAGAAAAGAAGAGAAAGCAGAAGGAAUGCAUGCUUGAUGGGACCAAGAGGACACAUGGGGUAAACUGAGUCACUCUCCCCCUGAAGUAAAGAUGUUAUAUAUAAAAUAAAAGACAAAAUGUCCACACCAGGAACAAAUUAGUCCCCUUAUCCAUCAGAAUAUCAGAAAUAAACUGCUUUAUCUUUAAAUAUAGUCUCAACUAUUUAAGGUUCCUUUCAGAAAAAACACAAACAAUUCUCUAAAGCUUCCUUGAGGGUUGCAGGCUCUUCCUAGGAGGAAAGUCAAAAUUUCAGCACCACGGCCAGCGCAAGCGCAUGUGCUGCUGUUGAGACUGGAGAGGCAAAAUCUUACAUACUCUUGGUGUGUGUGUGUGUGUGUGUUAGUGUUAUCAGUGUGUCCUAAUCUUUGAAUGGGAUGCUGACAUUUCUCAUGUCCUCAAACUACACAGAGGGCUCUGUUUUGUAAAAUACAGAAGAGAGUUUGUGAACACAACCGUUAAGAAAAGAACUUAGAAAAAUAAAAGUGAAAUAAAGAGAGAGAGAGAGAGAGAGAGAGAGAGAGAGAGAGAGAGAGAGAAGAAAGAAAGAGAAAAAGACUCAGUGCAUUUUCCCUCCAAUCUAAUUGUGGGUGACUUUCAGGCCAGGAAGGAAUUUAUUAUGAAACUCAACUGGCUUUCGUUCUGAGCCUGCCUAUUUUUUUUUAAAACAGAAAAAUAUGCCUAAUUAUUUUAAAGUUCCUUUCCAAUUGUGAGGCCUAGGCAAGUCCUUUAAUUAUCAUACAGUGUGAGCAAGGGGAGCAUGUGGAAGAGAAUGUCACGAAGAGGGUGCCAGGGGCAGCUCCUAGGAAAUCUGUAUUCAUUUCUGUCUCUUAUUUGUUCAGUAAUCUCUACCAUCAUAACUAAAUCUUGAAGCACUGAUGUAGUUCGAGUUGUUGUUGACUUAACGUCAAAAUUCAAUCACUGGGGGUUUUGCAUCAGCCGGGCUACUUAUUUGUCUAAUAAAUCCGUCAUUUUGUAAGAAAAAUAUUUGAGCAGCCGCACUUGACCUCUUGGUAUCCACAAGUCACAUUUAUUUCUCCCAGUUUACAAAUGCAGAAUCCAGAUGAUCAUCUAACGCCGGAGGAACUGUGUUGAUUUCUGAUUGGAUUUUAGAUGGAAAUGUCUAUUUUAAAUACCUUGUGAUUAAAUUGUACACAUAAUAGAAUCCAUGCAUUUUAAACUCAUCCCUGCUUGGGAACUUAACAACCUAGACAGCUAGUUAUACAUACUGAUGCCAAAAAGAGAAAAAAAUAGUCAGUCUUCCCUAUCCACAUUUGUCCAAUAAAUACUAAAGUUGACCCCUAAUUGGAAGACUUUAUUAAAGUCAGAGGUUGUCGAGAUUUUUUUUUUAAUUUCUAAACUAGUUCAUUUUGAUUAUCUCCCCACACUCUCCAUGGAGGGGAGAAUACUGUAAUUUAUGCAGGAGAAGGGAGGGUUUUAUUAUGCCAAGCUCAAAGCUAGGGCACACAGGACUGACCAUGCUGGCAUUUCCAGUCCUAGGGCUACAGCCUUCAUUUUCCUUCUAGACUAUAACUGAAGUUUAAGAAAAUUCAUAUUACCAUCUGUUAACUUUAAGGGGAGUAAUGUCCUAUAGUCCCUUGAACCAGUUUCAUUUUCUCCCAGCCAUGUGCUUAGAAAUUGCUAGAGAACAUCCAGUUUCCCCUUCUGCAUCCCCUUCCUCUGCAGAACGUUUUCAUGUGCAGACGACUUUACAACUUAGCAGUCUUCCCAGAUUCUUUGGCUAAGUCUCCAUGUUCUUUCGGAGAGUUUCCUUGUUCAGUGAGAGCAUUUUGUCUGACUGUAGAAAUAGAACGAAAGACAUCUGAGUCAGACUAGAAGGCUGGUUGACAGUAUGAGACUAAGAGAAAGGGGACCUUGAAACUGGAUCAGGGAGCUUGCCAUAGGGCUUUCAGACCUGACUUGUAUCAGGGAAGGGCAGGGCUUAGACCAAGUUGACUCUGGUAGAGAGAGGACCAAGAGGCUUGUAUUUACUCAACUUGGGGGAAUCCCUUGUGCUUUCUUGCCCUGGGACUGAGUUGUUGCCUGCUUGUCUGUGUGUGCUGUUCAAUAACCAGAGCGUUUGUAGAGAAAGCUUGUCUGGAUCUGAAAUCAUUGUACUGGUUGGAACUCACAGAUUUAGGUCAAAGGUGGUACCAAAGGGGCUCCUGAGCUCCCACUAUCUCCACCUUUUAUCUCCUUGCUGUCUCUUGCUCAUCUCAGCCCCGCAUGACCUCUAGCUGAGUUUGGGGACUUUUGCCACCAUGGACAUCCCAGAGCGGCAAGGAAGGUUCCCUCCCUUUCUACAGACAAGGUCAUAAAAGGUUCUGUCCCAGAGUUCCUAGCGGUCCUAGCAAGAGGUUCUGUUGAGGCUUCUGCACCGGGCAGACUGGAGGAGGGAAACUUUCACCUACAAGGCCCGUGAAACUCCAGGAUGAAGCCUUUUUCUGUGUGUAUUUCUCCAGAAGUCAUUGGGAUCCUAGCCCCUAAGAGCUUCUAUGUGCUCCUGUAUCUAUCUGCUUGCUUCCGCCUGUUAUUGAAAGGGGUCGCUAGUGAUCAGCAAAGGGAGUAGCGAAGGUCUUCCAGGCAGGAGGGAGUUCCUGUCUCAGCCUGUUUAGAGCUUGCUCCCCAAAGUUUAGUGGGUGCUUGUUGACAAGAUAACUUCUGAGAGGCGACUGAGGUCAUAUCUGAGCGUUUUUUAUAUCGCUUCCAUUUCCAGGUGGCUCACCUGAAUCCAUGACUUCGCUUUCCUUUCCCUCUCAUAGGAUCUUACAGCAUUUAAUGCAUUCAGAGAAAACCCCUGAAUCAAAAAAGCAAAAUAAAAUAGGAAUUUUCAGAUCUCUACCCACACUUCCCGGUGAGAGCAGUAGGCUAGCACAAACAGCUCAUAGAUCUCAGGUCCUGGAGAUUUGAGGAGGGUAGUGUGUCUGGAUUCCUCUACAGCUCUGACACAAUGACUACUUGGUCAUAAGGGAAUGGUUCUUGAGUAGUGUGUGAAUCUUUCAGGAUCACCGCCAUCUCCCUCCCGAUUCUACCAUAGCUCUCCCUGGAGUUCUAGAAAUAAGGGUAGAUGUUUCGGUUGUCUUUGAGCCUCAGGAUGUGAACUCUGAGGGAACUGUAGUCCUCGACAACAGUGGCUGGCAAAGUCAGAGAUGCAUCUGGAAUGGACCAAGGCUGGAGAGGAGAACAGGUUGCUAUGUGUGGUAGUUGGCUUGGGCCUCCAAACUUUACUCUCUUUAAACUCAGGGGAGGACUUUUGUACUUCCAUUGGUUUUUGUUUUGACUGUUUGAGUCAAUGACUCAGUGCAAAGAAUGUUGAAAAGGCACUGUGGUUUUCCUGUGCAAGGCCUGUGCUACUGUUUGUAAAGGCAACUGAGGGAAGGGGGUGUGCUUGAAAAGAGGAGAGCCUUGUGCUGCCAGCCUGGGGAUAUUUUAAAACUGAUAAUUCGGGAUGGAGAGAUGGCUCAGUGCUUAAGAGCACUGACUGCUCUUCCAGAGGUCCUGAGUUCAAUUCCCAGCAACCACAUGGUGGCUUACAUCCAUCUGUAAUGGGAUCCAAUGCACUCUUCUGGUGUGUGUCUGAAGACAGCUACAGUGUACUCAUAAAAACCAACCAACCAAACAAACAAAAAACGUGAUGAGUCUAAAUUGGAUGUAAACUGUUGGCAAAACCGUAUUUAAAUGCUCAAAAUUUCUAGAUAUAGGAUAUCGUUUUUCACAAGUGGCAAGGUUAACUAAUAUCCAUGACCUGAGGGAGGUAUGAGUUCCAAUAUUUGGGCUUCAACUCCAGCCCUCACCUACAGGGACAAAAUUUAGCAUUCACCUACAUUAAAGUAGCUGCAAGAUUCCUAAGUACUUAAUGACAGAAGAGUGCUCUGCCAGCUUGAAAAUACUAAUGUUAGCUUGUGGAAAUAGAUAUUCUACACUGUAAUUAUUAAAAACUUAUAAAAUCUUAAAUCAAUAUAAAUUAAUUUAAUUAUGAUUUGUAAUUGCAUUAUGCAUGAUCAAUUUGAAACACUACUUUAAAGAUAAUUAGAGCUGUGUGCUGUCACUCCUGACUUCCCUAAUAGCUUAAUGAAAAAGAAUGUCAUAUACUCACUACCUUUGGGUUAAACCUGUAAAUUACACUAAAUGCUUAUUUUCCAAUAAAAAAUAUGGUAAAAUAAUUGUACACUUUAUAGACAUAUUUUAUGACUCAAUUGUAAGUGUGUAAUGGAUUUUCUUGGUGGAACUGUAUUCUGCGUUUUUCCAUGGUCCUAGUUAAGUAUUUAUUAGGGUUGAUUGAGCUGUCAGUGUUUUUUUUUCAGGAUCAGACCUCAAGGAUUUGAAUGAAGACUAACUUUUAUGUAAAAAUAUCAUGCUGUCCUCGAAGCUUGUGCCAAGAGGUCACUGCAGAUGGAGGUCCUAACUUAGCAUAAUGGGUUUAACAUUUCCAUGACAUCAUCAGGGAAUCUGAAAGGAGACUAAGGAUAAUCAGAGUGGUCAUUCAGGAGAAGAGUAAAUAUUUUAUGAGGAUAUAUAGAAGACAGGAAAGAUGGUCAGAAAGGUGAAUCUCAGCUCCUUAGAGUUCAGAGAAGGAGGCGUCUCAGCCAGGCACAGAGUUAAAAGAGCCAGUGCACAAGCUGAAAUUAGCCAGAUGAAUCUGAGAGGUUCAGAGGGACUUCUUCCUAUCAGGGAGUAGUUUGUAUAGAUUGCUUUUGUUUCCCAAACUCUUCAUGUAUUUCUCAGUCUGGAGGAUUUAUCUUUUAAAUGAUAGCAUACAGGAAUAUACAUUCAGUACUCUCCUGGCCCUAAUUUUCUCAGUAUUUUCUGGUACCUCAAGACAGGCUUUUUACUUUUAAGAGAACUAUUGGAAUUAUCAAGAGCGUACCAAAGUAUUUGUGAAUUAGAUAAGUCUAGUAAGCUCAUAUUUAUUUAUUUUUUCCUAAUAUAAAAUAAUAUUUAAUAAUCUGUAUUAAUAUAGGUCUUGAUAGGUUAACCUUUACCUACCAUCAAAUAUCUACUCCCAACCCAAGACAGAUAGUGAAAAAUACACACAUACAUUAAAAGAAAUAAUAAAAAGCACAAAAAACUAUAUACUUCAUAGUUGUAAGCAUUUUCUCAAAGUGCUCAAUUUCUCAAAAUGCUCUCUAUAUUUGUUUUUUUCAAGACAGGGUUUCUCUGUGUAGCCCUGGCUAUCCUAGACCUUGCUGUGAAGACCGGCUGGCCUUGAACUCAGAGAUCAACCUGCUUCAGGAUGGCUGGUAUUAAAGGUGUGUACCACCAUGCUAGGCACAUGAUGAUCCUUUCUGUCAGACUUCACAUAGCCAGAAAUAAGUAUAUCUUGUUAUUUGAAAAGUAGUCACAUGUUCUCCAUAUGGCUAGAAACAUUUGCUCAAGUUCACUAUUAUUAUAUUACUCUUUUUUUGUCUUACUGUAGAUUGUAUGGAUCAAAUAUGUGAUGUGGAUUAUUAACAACGUCAUCCGGAAUGAAUACUGAGUCUUCUUGCAUUGAUGUUUAUUUUUAUGAAAAUUCCCUUAAUACUUAACAACACGAAAGAACUUGAGAACUUUAUUUUCUGCUGAAGAUAUAAAUGCAUUAAAUGAUGCAAAGAGUUGGUAAAAUAUUCCUAAGUAUAAAAAUUAGUGUUUUCUCUAGAAGUACCUUGCCUUUUCACCUAUUCCCCAUCCUGCGGAGCUCAGAGGUGGCCAGGCCGCGAAGGCAUCCCUGCUUUUGUGUAUCUAGCAUUUUGGGAAAGUUCUUGCUCUUUGCCGCCUCUUAUCUCACAAUGUCAAAUGUAUCUACAGUAAGGAUACAUUUAUGCCCCUGGCUGUUAAGCUGUAAUCAACCCUUCUGGAAAGAAAAGCCUGUUUGUUUUAUCUUUGUAUUUCCUCAAAGGACUAACACAACAUUAUAUAAAAUAGGCAGAAAAACAUCAUACAUACUCAAGUUGCAGAACACACAGAAGUGAUAGAGUUUCUUGCUUCUCUUUCUAAUUGUGCCAGUGUGUUCUGGUGCUCUCACCAAGGCUGGUGAAUGGCAACUAAGGUCAUUCCAGCAAGGGUACUUUUCAUCCUUAUAUUUUAUCUUAUAAUUAUGUUGAUAUGAAUUUGGUUUCGCAAAUAUAUCACCGUUUCACCUGAAAGCAAUUUAAAUGAAGUUAAUAUUUUAAAUGUCAUAAUUUUCUCUACAUAACUCUUAUUAUCAAUUUCUGUGCAAUCAUGUCAUGUCAAUUAGUUAUAGGCGGUUUUCAUGAUCAAAAGCCCCACUCUCUUGACCUGAACGGCAAGUACACUCCAUUAUUUAUGCUGUCAUGGACAGAUCUUGUGUUAAAAAUUUGGCAUUACGUGGUCACCAGAUAUUAACUUGAGAGCAUCUCCACAUGAUUUAUUCUUCCUUUCCCCUUUGCACAGUCACUGAAUAUAGCAAUGUAAUGAUUGCUGCAAGUGGGCCAGUCAAAUGUCAAAUAAAUCAUUCCUUUAUCAGAUGCAAAGUUUAAAGUGCCAUUUAGCAAGUUUUGCUUCUUGGUAAUGGGGCUCAGCAAAUUUUAUUUUCUGAUAUAUUUUAUAAUGCCUCAGAGUAGUUACUAUCAUCUCAGAAUCACAUAGUACCACACCUCAGUAGGUGCUAGACCUCAACUCGUUCUUGUAACCAAGUAACUUAUCAUUGCCACCCUUACUAGAUCUGUGCAUCAAAUAGAACAGUGCUAUUUUCUUUAACUCUGAUAACCAUUGGUUGGCCAUGUGGGAAAGCACUAUUAAUGCUUUUUAAAACAAGAAAUGGUGCUUAAGUUGUGUCAUGCUACAGAGACAUGAGUAUUUUUAUUUUUAUAUAUCAAAUUCAAUUUUCAUUUUAAAACCCCAAAGGAGUUUUAUUUGUAAUGACCUUUGUACUUCUCCUUCAUAAACUGGGGGAAAUGUCUCUCAUGCUCCGAGUUUUCCUUUGUCUACACACAACAAAACAAAAACUUGACAAAACCAAAAACGCCUGCAAUGUUUUAGGCCCAAUUCCUUUUUUACAUCAAACAAAGCCCAAAAGGGGAAAGAACUGGCUGUGGACCUGUACAUUAAAUUUCAUGACUUGAAGCCAUAGUGACCAAACAUCUUGUUAAUCAAAAUCCAUAUUCUCUUCAUGUUUUGAGCUGUUUGCCAAACAAAGAGUGAACGAAAUCUCCACACUUGCACAUUUCUACAUUUAAUGUGGAAACAUUAAAAAAAAUUAGAUUAGGAAAUAGAAGAAUAUAAUGACCUUCCACUCAAUCAUAUGCUGCCAGCUAAGUGUUUGAGACUGAAAAAUUGCACUAAUGAAGCCAUUUGAAGGCUUUUGUGGACAACUGCUUCCUCUUUGAAGAUUAAAUGAAUGAUGUUGAUGUGAUUAAUCUUAGUACAGGGAGUGAUGCAGCAGCUAGGAAAUACCUUGGUGAUUUUCAUAAUUAAACUGAAUCAACAUUUCAAAGAAAUGCCAGUGUUAUCGCUUGUAUAUUAGAAUUAUGUUCAUUAGACAGAAGAAACAAAUAGUUUGAGCAAACAAGAUUUUCCUUGUGGUGUAUUGAGACUUCUGUCGUGUCUCAGAGUAUCUUAGUAUAAAUCAUCAUUACUGCUUAAUUUUGUCCUUGCGUUCUUGGCUGUUUUGGUGUCUCAUUGUACAUGCAGAGUGAAGCUGGCAACUCACAGCUCCCCAUGGCUUCUUUACUUUCAGGUCCCUACAAUCCAUCUUCUUUUCUCAUUUAUAAGGUGACUAUCUGCUCAUCUCAAGGAAGAUUUCAGAAAGUCAAUUUCUAGUUAAAUGUGAUGUUUUGGAAUUGUUUUAUUACUUUGCAAGGAUUUGACACAAUCAUAUUUGUCCACUUUUUUUUUUUUAUAGAUUUAGAGCUGACAACACCGUGUUCUUUUUUUUGACUGAUGUAUUAUUAUUAAUUUCUAAUAAAUAAAUACAUUUAUUUUCCUUGUAGUAAAGGUUUAAGCUUUUUGUGGAUAAUUUCAGACAGGAAAACAUUCAGCACCAUUCCUGAGCAAGCUAUGUGAACUGGGCUUGCUUGUCAGUCAACCCUGGAGAGUUCUGGAUCCUUAGUCAAUGUACAACUUCAGGCCAAGGGCUAAGGAUCACUGUGCCAAUAGUUCAAUCACCACAUUAGAUCAUUUUAAAUGUUUCUCAGCGACACCCAGGUUCUUUCUUUCCCUGGUUAUUAAAAGAAGUAAGAAAUGUUUUUUUUUCUUCAUUAAAAAUUUUCAUGUCUAUGGUGUUGUAGAUGCAUGAAUGUUCAUGUACCGCAUGCAUGCCGCAUACCUCUAGAGAGCAGAAGAGGGCAUCAGGCCCCCUGGGACUGGAGUUAUAGAUGGUUGAGAGCCACCAUGUGGCUGCUGGAAAAGAGCCAGGUCCCCCGGAAAAAGCAAGCCAGUGCUCUUAGCUGUGCAGCCAUCUCUCUGGCCACCAAGGAAUGUUUCUUUGAACAUACCACAUAAAAUACACAGUUUGCGUUUAAUCUGUAAUCUUAAGUCAGAUGAGGUUGGUGACUUGGUGAGUUACCAAGUCAUAGAUGAGUGAGAAUAUUCAUUCCAAAAACUGCUUUUCUUUCACUGUUGUAGGACUGAAAAUACUGAAAUAAUUAAGCACCAAAAUCAGAGAAGUGACAAGACUUCUAAAGCAUUCUGUCCACAGGGACCUGACUAAGAUGUAGUCAGGAUGGAGGCAGUCUGCAAUCUGUUGACGUUCUUCAAAGUAUAGUAGUUCGAAUGAAAAUGCCCCCCAUAGGCUCAUAAGGAUUGGCGAUACUAAAAAGUAGGUUCUUAUGGGAGUAGGUGGCCAUGUUGGAGGAAGUAUGUCACUGGAAUUUGAGGUUUUAAAUGCUCAACCCAGCAUCACACUUUCUUCCCAUUGCCUGGCAAUAUAGAACUCUCAGCUACUUCUCUGGCACCAUGUCUGCCUGUGUCUCACCAUGCUUCCUGCCAUGAUGAUAAUGGCCUAAACCUAUGAACCUGUAAGCCAGCCCCAAUUAAAUGUUGUCCUUUAUAAGAGUUGUCAUGGUCAUGGUGUCUCUUCACAGCAGUAAAACCCUAACUAAAGCAGAAAUAUUCUGCCCUGUGUUGUGUGACAUGCUACCUAGCCACCCACACACAGAAGGUGCCAGCUAGCUACAACAGUCAAUGAAAACUGAAAUACAAAGUUUUCAACACACAGAACAAAUAUCUUCAUUUGAAAUAGGCUUCCUGGCACUGAAUGCUACUUAUGACAAAUGUAAAACACAAAACAAAACAAAACAAAACAAAAAACAAAAACAAAAACAAAAAUAAUCGCUGAAUCAAAAGCACAAUUUCCCCUCACAUCUUUGCUCUCUUGUUUGCUAAAUUAGAGCCACAACAAACAAGACAGGACAAAAGAAGGGGGCGGGGGGAGGCAUUCAGCAUGCUGGGCUGUAAAGAGACAUGCCUAGGGAGAAAAGCUCAGAGAACCUCUUUUAUAUGACACCAAAAGCCCAUGGCUGGAGGAAGAGGAAGGACAUCGGACCUGUGUUGAGAGGGAUCCAAUUCACGUGGGGAGCGCACAGUCCAAUAUGCCAGACCAGUCAGAGGGAGCGGUGGAAACGGUGCGAAAGGAAAAAGGAGUGUUAGAGCAGAGCAUAGAUUAUGUGCGUGAAGAAUGUUUUGUAUCAUUGGGUCAUGCUGAGGGAAAGAAGAACUGAAGUCACACACAAGUAGACCUUACUAAAUAGAGUCCCGCUCCGUUGCUGAUGCUGCCCCAUGACUAACCGGAGUCUCGUGCAUCCCGGAGGAGAUGCUCUUCUGGAAGACUUUGAAAAUACAAUUCCCAGACUUCAUUGGUGCCCAAUUCUAGAGAACUGAGGGUGGGAAGAGAUAAUUAUUCCAAAAACCAUUCAUUCCAGAACACUUUUCUGGACCAUUGUAAAGAACUGGAGCCAUCGAGAAGCCUUGAAAGUGUCCCUUCUUGGCCAUCCUGGUGAUGGCCCUUAGCUUUUCUCUUUCAUCCAUGUCCUUAACUUUCCUAGGAAGCACUUAAUGAUUAUUUCAGGACAGGUCAUAGUUGACAUAACCUUUUUAAAAGCAGAGAUCUACAUCUAUUUGUAUCUCUCUACCUUCAUUUCCCUUUCUUCUUCUUCUUCUUCUUCUUCUUCUUCUUCUUCUUCUUCUUCUUCUUCUUCUUCUUCUUCUUCUUCUUCUUCUUCUUCUUCUUCUUCUUCUUCUUCUUCUUCUUUUCUUCUUCUUCUUCUUCUUCUUCUUCUUCUUCUUCUUCUUCCUCCUCCUCCUCCUCCUCCUCCUCCUCCCCCUCC